rnacentral:lncRNA from 13 species
ACCAUUCCUGCAAAGUAGAAUCAGCUGGGGAGUUUUACACUUGCUCUGAUGCCUGGGUUUCACCUGCAAGAGUAGGAAGUGUCAGAAGACAAAAUUACAAGUUUAGUUUAAAGGUCUAAGUGGCGGCCGCGCGCGGUGUCUCACGCCUGUAUUCCCAGCAUUUUGGGAGGCCGAGGCGGGAGGAUCAUUUGAAGUCACUAAUUCUAGACCAGCCUGACCAACAUGGCAAAACCGUGUCUCUACUAAAAGUACAAAAAAAUUAGCUGGGCAUGGUGGCGCGUGCCUGUAGUCCCAGCUACUUGGGAGGCUGAGGCAGGAGAAUCGCUUGAACCCAGGAGGCAGAGGUUACAGUGAGCUGAGAUCAUGCCACUGCACUCCAGGCUGGGCAACAGAACGAAACUCUUGUCUUUAAAAAAAAAAAAGAAAAUCUAACUGGCUUAUAUUUGGGAUCUAGAAUGGGGAAACAUCAUUCUAUAAAGCAAAUAGCGUGUUCCAAUGAGCUGCGCAGAGGAGGUUGGCUUAAUGGGCAAAAAAAGGCUGAAGAACACAACAAACAACUAAGGACUGUCCUCAUUUUUAAUCUGCAAGUCCUGUGUCUUAGGAAGCCCUUCAAUCCCAAGCAAACCAGGAUGGAUGGUCAUCAAACUGUUAAAGGAAUAUAUGGAAAGUAAACCAAAGGUUUUAUGCGGUUAAACAAGAUAUUUCCUUCUUACAAACAAGGCAAAGGCUAAUACUUUGUUGUAACCUGUUGUCUUUUCAGCGGUCUUUAUAGAAUGACUGUUUAAUGCCAUCUGUACCUAAAGUCUGAGCCAUUCAUACCCUGGGUUCUAAUCUCUGUGCAGAACAAUGUUCUAUCCUGUCAGUAACCUAGUAGGACAGAAGCAAAGAUGACUUUACACCCCUCACCCCACCCUUUCCUGCACUGCACGCCUGAAUGUCCCCCACACCCAGCCACUACUGGCAUCCGGUGACAUCUUCCUGGCUGGACACAGAAGAAGAGUUCUGGCAUAUUUAGGAUACAGUUUCCUAAGUACAGGAAAACUGAAAACAGAACAAAGAAAAAGUGUGGAUGUGAAAAUAACAAAGUGGAAAUAGAGACCAUUGUGUUGUUUGGCCAGGCUACUGUUCAUUUAACUGUAUGGAAAUAGCAGCUAAAUUCUACUUUUAGGAACCGCCUUCCUCCCAGGCCCUGUGAUUGAUAGGAGUGAACCUCCCUCUUCUUCUCAUUCUCCAAGGGGAGCAUAUGACCCAAACCUGGUCAAUGAGAUCAUUCUAUCUUCCCAGCCUCAGUGACUGACUCUGAGGAAGCAUGGGACCCAAGCUAGGUCCACACCACCUCCACUCCUAGCCAUUGGGGAUCAAGGACAGCCACCAACCAGCAUGACUGAAGCAGAGGGACAAGGGGUGUGAGAGGCCUCCCCUCCCACUCUCCGCAGGCACCCCUUACUCAUCCUCCAGGAUGGGCUCAACUGCUACUGCUCUGUAAGGUUUCUGUGGUUAUCCAGGCCCAGCCCCUGCCUCUUUGGCCUUCCCUUGCAGCACCCUCAUGAUUGCUGGCAUCUGCCUCUUCUCCUGCCACUCGGUUAUGAAUUCCUUCAAAGGCAAGACUCUAGGGUGGGCGCGGUGGCUCAUGCCUGUAAUUCCAGCACUUUGGGAGGCUGAGGCAGGCAGAUCACUUGAGGUCAGGAGUUCAUGAUCAGCCUGACCAACAUGGUAAAAGCCUCUCUCUACUAAAAGUACAAAAAUUAACCGGGUGUGGUGUUGGGUGCCUGUAAUCUCAGCUACUCAGGAGGCUGAGGCAGGAAAAUCGUUCAAAUCCAGGAGGUGAAGGUUUCAGUGAGCUGAGAUCACAGCACUGCACUCUAGCCUGGGCAAGAGAGUGAGACUCCACCUCAAACAAAAAAAACAUCUAAAGAAUCUUGCACUAUUCAUCUCUUUAUUCCCAGAAUAUAGCAUGGUACUUACAGCACAUUCAUCCAUCACCGUGUGCCAGGAAAUGUAUGUUCUGGGGAUACAGCAGCAAAGAAGACAGUCUCUGUGCUGGUAUAGCUUAUAUUCUGGUGGAAGACACAAACAGGUUGGCAAGUUCAUAAAUAAAACGCCCCUGAGUGGUAAGGCCA